UACGUAGGUGGCAAGCGUUGUCCGGAAUUACUGGGUGUAAAGGGCGUGUAGACGGGGUUAUCAGUCAGAUGUGAAAUUCCCAGGCUCAACUUGGGAGCUGCAUCUGAAACUGUAAUUCUUGAGUGUCGGAGAGGAAAGCGGAAUUCCUAGUGUAGCGGUGAAAUGCGUAGAUAUUAGGAGGAACACCAGUGGCGAAGGCGGCUUUCUGGACGAUAACUGACGUUGAGGCGCGAAAGCGUGGGGAGCAAACAGG
rnacentral:rRNA from 1 species